CUACGGGCGGCUCCAGCAGGGAAUAUUGCACAAUGGAUGGAAGUCUGAUGCAGCGACGCCGCGUGGAUGAUGAAGGCCUUCGGGUUGUAAAAUCCUUUUCAGGGAGAAGAGGAAGGACGGUAUCCCUGGAAUAAGCGUCGGCUAACUACGUGCCAGCAGCCGCGGUAAUACGUAGGACGCAAGCGUUAUCCGGAUUUACUGGGCGUAAAGCGUCUGUAGGCGGUUUAGUAAGUUUGAUGUGAAAGCUCCAGGCUCAACUUGGAGAGUGCAUUGAAUACUGCUAGACUUGAGGGGAUCAGAGGAAAGCGGAAUUUCCGGUGUAGCGGUAAAAUGCGCAGAUAUCGGAAAGAACACCAGUGGCGAAGGCGGCUUUCUGGGAUCAACCUGACGCUGAGAGACGAAAGCUAGGGUAGCGAACAGGAUUAGAUACCCCCGUAGUC
rnacentral:rRNA from 1 species